GAAUAUCUCAGCAAGGUUUUGCUGCUGCAAGGCUCUUUAGCUGCUGGCCUGACAUGGUUUCUGGUUUACUUCUGACUACCAUUUCUAUCUUCCCCUAAUACCCUCUUAUUUUCCAGUUUUCCUCCCUUAUUUCCUCAUUUGCCUCCUUGUUAUUCCCUAUAAGUCCCCUUUUUACAUUUCUCAGGCAUCCUUUUCUCUUGUGGACCCAAGAAGAAUACUGCACUGCAAUGACAUACAGUCUAUUUGCCAAGAUAGAGAAAAAUAGAUGGAUAUGAGAAUUUUGAAAAAAAGGAACACAUGAAGAGGAGGUCUUGCAUCAAGAACUGACUACAUAAAUGGUGGCAUCAUCAAUGGAGACUAGAUUUGUAUUCAUGCUCAAGAAAGAAAAAAAGAACACCUUAAAGUAUGGAGAAAAAAAUGUUCUAGAAUCUCUGGAGUCAGAUUACUUCAAAAACCAAACUGAAUUGAAACCAACAAAUAAACAAACAAACCAACAGGGAGAUGAAGCUUUAGAAGCCCUUAUAUAAAUGUUUCAGGACAUCAAGAACACCUUGCUAAAUGAAUUUUCUAUGCAUAAGCAGCAUACUCAUUUUUCAUACCUCAAUAUUUAAUUACCAUGUGAUAAUAAUACAAACCGUGAGAGAGGAUAGCAGUACUUUCCACAAGACAACAACAGCUUUUUUCAUUAAAAAUAAAAUGUCCUUUCUGCACA
rnacentral:lncRNA from 1 species